CAAAUGUUCACAUCUAUUUAUUAUAAAAAAUACACUUCCAUCACAUAAAUAAAUAUAAAUACACUACAUACCAUUCACAUAGACCCAUAUGUUAACACAUAUACUUGUUUGGCUUUAAUUAUAUUUCAAUUAAGUCUAUAAUUUGAAUAUGAAUUAUAGUUUUUGGUGUUGCAGUUUAUUCUUAAGAAACCUUUCUACUGUUAAAGUAUUCUUCAAAAAAUAUUCCAUUCAUAAUCCCCACCUUAGGUUAUCUUACAAAUAAAAAGAUAAACUAGAGACUUCCAAACAAGGCAUGUAUUACUUUUAAAACAUAACAUAGUACAAAAGAUAAUGAAUAUCCAUUCAUAGAAUUAUUCAUAGCACUGUGUUUUAACAUUUUAUAUAUUUUUCUAUGAUACGAAAAUAGAUAAAAACAUAUGAACCUUUAACUGUUACUUAUGCUCCCAAAUACUACAACUGCUGUUUUUAAGGCCUCAAGGUAUGUUUCACCCUUAAAAAAUGUUUGAUGUGUUCUAAUUCACCAAACCAAAAGGCAACCAUAUAUAAAAUAUAAGAGAAACUCUUUACUUCCCUGUAUGUAGUUUGGCUUUCAGUUCUUUAUUAAUACACAUGACCUUCUACGACUCCAAAUACAAAAAUUAAAAAAAACAAAAUAUAAUACAAAAAUCUUGCAUUCAAUUGCAGUUUAGAAAAGCUAGUAUUUCUUCCGUUUAAUUAUCAAAUAAAUUGAUACUCCUAUGAAUUUAUAUGCUCAAAUCUAAAUAACUAAUAGUUUGCUAAUUCAUUAAAUCAUAUGAUUUUAAGAUAAGUAACAUUACACAGAUAUAUUAAACAUAGAAAAGGAUUAGCACAUAUGUUUAAAUAAUAUAUAAAUAUCAAUAUACAUGUUAUUAAACCAAAAAAAUAUAUGAUUUACAUGAGAUAAGUUUGAUAUUAACAACAUCACUGUAAAUUUAUGUUAAAACAAGAUUGUCAAAAACUUAACCACUAGGUAUCACAUUAUGUGGUUUGGACGGAUUAUCAUUGUAAAAGAUGGUUAACAAUUUUAAAAUAAACACUCUGCCUAUAUAUAGCUAUAUGGACUUCUGAACUUAUUCAGCAAUUUCAAGAAUAUAUCAAGUUUAUGCUUAUAAUCUAACACAAUAAUUCAAUUCAGACUUUUUAUGGCAUGUUAAAUACAGAAUGAAUUAAUGUGUAAAUGCAUAUGGUGUAUAAUUCAUAUGUAUUUUCAAGACAUGAGCAACAUGAUUGGUGCCAAUUGUGGUGCAGUACAUGCCUAGUUUUCUUUAAACAGUUUGUGUUGCCUGUGUUUUCUGUGAUAUUUUAAUCUAUUAUGUAUGCUAUGUGUCACUUUAUAACAGCCUUGUACAUCUCUUGUCCUGAAAACUAUUUGCUUAUCAAACAUUUACAUUCAUUCAUAAAAAAGUCUUGAAAAAAUGAAAUAUAACCAUGGAUGCUUGAAAUUUAAAACUUAAACUAAACAAAACAAGAGUGCACACGCUGAAAUGUCUUGCCUUCUAUACUAAUCAUUGAUAUUAUGUUGAUAGUCCUAAGUAUAAAGCUAAGCUUUAUUACAACUGUCACAUAAUCUUAACAUUAGGCAAGAUAACUAAACAAAGACCAAUGAACCUUGAAAAUGAGGUCAAGGUCAGAUGAACCAUGCCAGGCAGACAUGUACAGCUAACAAUACUUCUAUACAACAUAUAUAGUUGACCCAUUACUUAUAGUUUAAGAAAAAUAGACCAAAACACAAAAACUUAACACUGUGCAAUGAACCGUGAAAAUGAGGUCACGGUCAAAUAAAACCUGCGCUACUGACAAAAAGAUCAUAAAAUAUUUCCAUACACCAAAUAUAGUUGACCUAUGGCAUUAUAGUAUUAGAUAAAAAGACCAAAACUCAAAAACUCAACUUUCACUACUGAACCAUGAAAAUGAGGUCAAGGUCACAUGACAUCUGUCCGCUAGACAUGUACACCUUACAAUCAUUCCAUACAACAAAUAUAGUAGACCUAUUGCAUAUAGUAUGAGAAAAACAGACCAAAACACAAAAAUUUAACUAUAACCACUGAACCAUGAAAAUGAGGUCAAGGUCAGAUGACACCUGCCAGCUGCACAUGUACACCUUACAGUCCUUCCAUACACCGAAUAUUCUAGCCCUAUUGCUUAUGGUAUCUGAGAUAUGGACUUGACCACCAAAACUUAACCUUGUUCACAGAUCCAUGAAAUGAGGUCGAGGUCAAGUGAAAACUGUCUGACAGACAUGAGGAUCUUGCAAGGUACACACAUAUCAAAUAUAGUUAUCCUAUUACUUAUAAUAAGAGAGAAUUCAACAUUACAAAAAAUUUGAACUUUUUUUUCAAGUGGUC
rnacentral:lncRNA from 1 species